rnacentral:lncRNA from 1 species
AAACAUUUGCCUGGAGAAAAUUCAGGUUGUUAUAGAAACACACAGGAAUAUGUUCAGGCAGACUUGUUCGUGAGAAGAAAAGCACACUUAAACUAGCACAAGCAAAGGCAUAUUUACUAUAAAGAUACAUGUGACAUGGGCAAAGAAUAAGAUUGGCUGAUCCUAUCUGCAUGAUAGGCCAGAGAGGUCCUCAGCUUUCCUUUAGUCCAUAUGUGCUACCUAUAGCCCAGCCACUGUUGUUUAAAGAGGAUGCAUAUGAUACAAAUCAAAAAAUAAUGUGCCCGGAAUGCCACAAACCAUGAGGUAGUAGAAGUAAUGCCUCACAAAUCUACGCAGGACUGAGGACAAGGGUGGUGUCUGCCCAGGAUCUUCAUGUAAUCAUCUCCUUACUGAUCAUAGAUGACAGAAAGAAUAUAAUGAAAACAGGAAGACUUCAGACAGACUUUAAGCCAGACUCUUGGCGAAAGUAAAAUACCUGUAUUUGAAAUUAUAGGUAGACACUAAACAUCAAAGUGGCAUCAGAGAAAAAGCUAAUAAAAGACAAACAGAGAAAAUUAUGAAAUCUAUUUCUGAUUAGAAUUCCAAGAUUCUUUUUCAUCUGGAAAUUUUCUCCCCUAUCUCAGAACAUUCAAGAAAUAUUCUUUAGCAGUCAUAUCAUAGGAAAACUCAUUCCAAGUUCUUUUACAACCCCAAGUGAGUAAGUUUUCUGGGAGACUGGAGAAUAGGGAGAAGUAGAUGAAGACACAAUAAUCUCUUUUCUAGACAUUCUAAAUGGAUUGUCUCAGUCUUUGCUUCUAGUUUAGACUUACGAGUAGGCUGCUGCUUGAUACCCUGCAGGAGUUUCAGGAAACCUCACAUGCCUCAAAUUAUACUUUCUUCAUUUACUUGCUGACCCUUGAAAUUAUUUUAACACAGGCCAUUGAUUUUACUUCUAUAAUUAAAACAUAAAAGAUUAAAUGAUAAUAGCCUAGCCAUAGAAGAAAAAGCACAGUGAUUGUAAACACUUUUAAGUGUCUUAAAUCUUUCUUGAAAAUUAAUCCUGUCUGAGUAGAAAGAAAGAGAUAAUGCAAUAAGACUAUAUGAGGGAAAUAUAGGUACAUAGAAACAUAGAAAGAUAAGGUUCAGAGUAGAGAAGACAAAAAUCAUGUAUUUCACAUCAAAUAGAUUUAUUUAACAUUAGUAAAUAUAUACAGACAUAUAUAUAUAUAUAUAUAUAUAUAUAUAUAUAUAUAUAUAAACAUAAUAUGAAUUCCUGGGUUGCCUUAGAAUAGAAUAAAUAUAUACAGAAAUAUAUAUAACAUAAUGUAAGUUCCUGGGUUGCCUUAGAAUAAAUUCCCGGUUGCCUUAGAAAACUGGAAUUCUUUCUUGUGUCUUAAAAAAAAAAAAAGCCUGAAAUCAAUGAAGGAGAGCAAAUAAAAACACAUAUAACUUAGUCCUUUAGCAUAAUUAGAAAACAGAGUACCAUGAACACAAAUUUGUUUGUAAAUGAGAAAUAACCAUCAAGCUGAUAUCAUAUGACUGUUCAGAGAGGGAAGUGGAAGGCUUAAAACCAAUAAGCCAGUGUAACAUCAACAUCCAAGAAAGUUCUACACCAAGUGAGAAAUACCGAGAACAUUUCUG